UUUUAAUGUGGUGUUUGUAACCUAUAUAUGUCAAAAUAGAUACAUUUUGGGCAUAUGAGGUAUUUUCAGAAUUGGACAAAUACAUUUCUUUUCCGGUAUGGUUCUUUUAGUAGCCCCUGAUUUGCACAAAUUAUACAAUGGGAAACACCGUGGCAAAUGUUUUGUGCUUCCACUAGUUUCAUUACCCAUAAAUAACAGAAUGUGCAUUCAUAUGGGGUAUUCUGCCCCCUAGUGUUUUUCCAUGGCUCUUGGUGAGGUUUGGCUCAAAUACUGCAUCUUUUGCUUGAUCUGUUACAGGAGUUACACUUUUGAGUUGCGAUAUAAAUUUUGGAAAGGGGCCAGGUUCUUGGUGCUUAGGGUAACCAGAAGACCUCAGUAGUUAGGUGUAAAGUAACCCUUCACUAGAAUUAAGCCUGUAUGACAAAAUGGACAGCUAGAGGUAUGCAAAGUGUGGCAUUUGCGUACAUUCUAUAAAAUGUGAAAGAUGCCACAUGCCUGCUGAUAAAAAUUUAACUCUGGCGCACAGGCAAUACUGCUCAUCCAAACUUUGUCCCAUUUUAAUUAAAACUCCCUAACCUCCUCACAUUUUAUAUUGGCACUCUUUUUUUUAUAUAAAUUGACCUUGUUACACCCGUGGCUUUUUAAGCAGACAACAGGUCCUGUUACUUCCUGGUUUGAUUUGCUCAAUGGAGCUAAACUCGAGGCAGCAAUUGCCCAGAGCCCCUACCUUUUCAUUGAACUGUAUUGGGAAGCCUAUGAUUGGACAUCCACAGAAAGUCUGAGGUGGAUUAGAAGGGGAAGGUGUGCAAAAGCAGUAGACGAGAACUGCAACAUUUGCAAGCUGUUUUUAAAUAUGCCCACAAUAAAGAAAUGCAUAACGAAAUACCUGUUGGGGUGUAUCUACUAAAUAUUUUUUUUUGUAUAUCUGGACAGUGGAGUGUCCCUUCAAAUAUAAAUUGCAUUCAGACUGCACAUCCCAAAAUGCUCUGUGUAGUCCUGACUGUGUUUUAGUUACAAAACUAUUCCAACUUUGACCAAAAUAACCAACUUUAGAAAUUCAUCAAGUUUAUGUCUGCUCUGUAGAUAACUUCCAGCUUUUCGUUUAUUCACAUGCAGUAUAUUUUGAUGUUCAAUGAAACCAUUAGGUAUCCAUCUGGCUGCCUUCCAUAUUGCUGCAGUUGCAUAUGCAUCUUAUGUUGGUGUAUAUCCCAUCAUUUUUAAGAAAUGCUCAGAAGCUUGAUCGGGUGUUGACUAAAUACUGUUGACACAUGCAAUGUAAUUUUGUGU